rnacentral:lncRNA from 1 species
GGGUCAGCAUUAGGAUGCAUUAAGCCACCUYAUCCUGUAGGAUAAAGGCCAGCGACUGUGGAGCUCACUGACUGGAAGAGGUUGACUUACAGAAAGUUACCCACUACUGAAUACUGGUAUUGCAUCAUAAAAGAUGAAGAUGUGGUGCAGGGGCUAAAAGAAAUGCAAAACGUGGAGGACACAGACAGUGUAUCAGAUCCGAGCAGCCUGUCAAUACAUGUCCUCCAGAGCUUUCUAGCAUCCUGGAUUCUCUCCAGAAGCGUGGAAGCACGUUCAACCAGACAUUACUGA